GGAGAUGUUGGGUGAAGUAUCUCCUGAGGUAUGAUUUGAGUGCACCUCACGUUCGGGCCACCACGUGAGAGUGAGACUCAGCCAACGCCAAGGAACGGCUGUGUGUUAGAUGUGAAAACAUGUUUAUGGGUAUGGGUCAUUGAACAGCCUUGGCGGUCUCAGUGGGAUACCUUGACGAAGGUACCUGCGAGAAUGAUUUUGGCAGGGGUCAAUUUUAAGAAGUUCAUAAGCCGGAAAAUUUUGAUGAAAAUAAAUUGUUUGGUAUAGACUGAAACGAAAUUUGUGUUAUGAACAUUUUUGAGAUAUAAUGUUUUUAUAUUAUCUCCAUCUACUCGGCUUUAGAUGCUUUUGAUGGUAAUUGUUUACUCACUGGGAUUAUUUAAUCUCACCCCUCUUCCUAUCCAUUUUUCAGGCUCAGGACAGUUUGUUGAUAGUUGAUUAAGACGAGAAUUAAUCUCGGAGUUGCAUCAUAGGAAGUAAGAGUUCGUAGCCCUACAUCUUCUUAGUCAGUUGGGGACCCACGUGUCACUGUAAAAGUAAUUUUAUUCUUCAGUUAUUUGAUUUAAAGUAUGUAUGAAUAUAUUUAGCUUUUACACCAUGUUUUUGACGAGUUUUGGUAUUUUCGAAGAAAAAUGAUGAAAAUGCCCCUGUGAGCCAAAAAAUAAUAUUUUAUUGUUUUGAUUUGGAAAUGACUUCUGAUUUUUUUGAAAUGUGAGAUUUAAUAACUGUCACUCACUGGGGAGAUGCAGAAGCUGAUGCUAAGCCUUGCGGGGUUUCGAUCGACAUUCGGGGUAAUGAGUGCCUAUCGGAACGUCGCGGCGGUUGUCACGGGCUCGAUGGGAGUUCCGGGUCGUGACAAUAAUGGUCAAGCAUUGAUGUGGUGAAUUAUGUAUUGUACAUUGUGGAUAGGUGGUGAGCAAAUUACACUGGUAAAAGUACAGAAAUUGUGCUUGAAGACUGAGAUUAGGAGUACAUCGACUCCUAGAACUGUGAGUGGAUAAUUUAUCGUCUUAAAUAUCUAGAGUUAUUAUACUUGUUUGAUGCUUUUAUUGAAUGGUGAGCUUAAAUUAUAAAAUAUUAUGUUUUCCAAUUAAAAUAUUUUUUUUAAUAAAAAUGAGAUUUAUAUUGAUUUUGAAAUCAAAUAUUGUUUUGGGAAAAUUGAGUAUAUGGAGACUGUGUUGAAAUUUAUGAUUUUAUAUGUUAUUGAAAUUGAGGAUUAUGACAAUAUGGUAGCAUGAUGGCUAAAUUUUUGGGGUUGACAUGAAAUAUAUGAACAAUUUUGGAUUAGUCUCGAUAGACUGGAUUAAAUUUUAUUCGCCAUAUUAUGCUACUGGAAAUUUUAUGGGUCUGGUGGUAUAUUAAACGGUCACUGCAGUAGUGGGGGUUUCCGUGGACUGCUUAUGAGAGGGGCACGGUAACUCAAUUAUAUACUUACCUCUGGGGGGAGAUGUUGGGUGAAGUAUCUCCUGAGGUAUGAUUUGAGUGCACCUUACGGUCGGGUCACCACGUGAGAGUGAGACUCAGCCAACGCCAAGGAACGGCUGUGUGUUAGAUGUGAAAAUAUGUUUAUGGGUAUGGGUCAUUGAACAGCCUUGGCGGUCUCAGUGGGAUACCUUGACGAAGGUACUCGCGAGAAUGAUUCUGGCAGGGGCCAAGUUUAAGAAAUUUAUAAGCC
rnacentral:lncRNA from 1 species